rnacentral:lncRNA from 1 species
AUGAGGAGAGAUUCUCUAACUUGUCUUACCAUACACUUAUGAUACUUCCUACUGAGGCAGAGAGAGUACGUAGGUUUUUUGCGUGGUUGUACUAUGGUAUUCAGGCCACUAUGGCCCGAGAGGUUGAGAUGGGUACUUCUUACCAGCUAGUUAUGAAGAUAGCUUGGACUGUUGAGGGUUAUCAUCAGCGGGGUCGAGAGCAGAUGUUGCAGGACAAGCAGUUCCAUUACUCUGGAGAGUUUAGAGAUGUCCUGGCUGGGGGCAGAGGUCAGUUCAUGAUGGGUCAGCCCAGCAGGCCCACAUAUCUAGCACCGUCGUCUUUUCCGGGGACUCUAGUUCGACCUUAUUUCAGCGCCAUGUAGAGAGUUCCUACCACCCACCAGCUAUUCAUGAUUCCUCCAGUAGGUAUUCAGGCCAUCAAGGUCAGACUUCAGGUCAGAAGCAGCCCUUCGUACCGAGAGCUUGCUUCAAGUGCAAGGAUUUUAGCCACGUGCGUAGAUUCAACCCCAAGCUUUUGGGCAAGGCAGUGCAGCAGGGUUCUCAGCCUAUGAUUACAACACCAGUAGCUGCACCAGCCGUCCAACCGCCCAGAAGUGGAAGGGCAGGUGGGUAGGGUCCAUCCUAAAGGUGGAGGCCAGUCAGGUGGCACUCCAACUAGAUUCUAUGCUUUCCCGGCUAGACCAGAUGUAGUAGCAUCAAAUGCCGUGACCACAUGUAUUUUUUCUGUCUGCGGUAGGGAUGCUUUGGUAUUAUUUGAUCUAGGUUCUACAUGUGCAUAUGUGUCAUCUCUGUUUGCUCAUUUUCUGGAUGUUCCCCAUGAAUCCUUGGGUACUCUUGUUUAUGCGUCCACUUCGGUGGGCGAUUCUGUUAUUAUAGAUCAGGUCUAUCGGUCCUGCAACUUACAAUAUGUGGUUAUGAGUCUCGAGCAGAUAUUCUGCUUGUCACACCUCCUUUUUUACUGAAAGGGAUAUGAGAGUUUUUUCCAAUUAAAACGAGAAUAAUAGAAACAGGAUUAUUUAUAAUUAAAUUUAGAAUCGCCACUUAGGAUAAUUUAUGGUAUCUCAAAUAAUGGAUUUAAAAUUUCAAAUCGAGAAAGUUUGACCUGUUUUACUGUCCGCUAGAUACAGAAAUACGAGUAAAAAACUUUGUUAAUCCGGGAGAAGGUGUUGGGCAUUCCCGGAUUCCGUAGUUUUAGUACGGUUACUCAACUAUUAGUAAUUGACCUAAUUAUUUGAUUAAUCACAUAUUUAAACCUAUCGUGCAUUUUUAUUUUUUUAACCGCUUUUAGUAUUUAUGAAAUUAUUUUUUGGAACCAUGCACGAUUGUCGUACACUUAUCAUUUUUGAACACAUUGCAGAUCGAGUCACAUGAAAUGCACUCACGGUUUAUAACAUAUUUAUUUUUUAUUAUCAUUGUUAGAAGUUGUGAUUGGGUCACAUAAAAUGCACACCCAAGUAUGAUUUUAGUAUCAUGACCAUGCUAUGAUUUUAGUAUCAUGACCAUGCCACGGAUACCGUACUCAUGUUCACGAUGAUUAUUUACGGGCCGAAAAAUAUUCCUACUCAUAUAUGGCCAGUCUAAGCAUGCUACUAUCGGAUCGAGCAAGUAAACAAGACGAGCAAGUAAAGUAAACAAGAAUACGAACGUGAAAAGUUUUCUAUGCUUAAUAGAGUAAAGUUCUGUCAAAACAUUCAAAAUCAAGUCUCGGGAGACGUUCCAAAUCAAGUCUUGUGAAUUUAGUUAUUUAAAUCAAUCCCAACCCAAUUGCCAUUAAUCCCAGUCACUGAUGUGGUUCAAUAUAUUCUCUCGAUAAAAUUUUGCUCAGAUUAUUAACCAAACAAAUCAUGUGUUCGUCCUUCUAAAAAAUUAGCUAACUAAUUCGUUCCGUUCCGAAUAAAAUAUCGAAUUCAAACUAGGCACACACAAAUCAAACUAGGCAUAAAUAAUCAUACGACAACCAUAGUUAUCAAAGAAGCAAGAACAUGAAGAAAUUUUUUAAGAUUCAAAGUAAGAAAUGGACCUCAAAGGCUAAGCUCUUGGAAUCUGAAAAUAUCUAAGACCGAAAACCUUAGACGAACGACUGAAUAGGGACCUCAGACAACGACCUCCGGCAACCUCGAAGCUCGCCGAACUAAAAAAGAAACCAGCAAGGUUCACGAUAGUAACGGGUGAUUUGGAAUUAUUUUGUGACGUUUCUCAGCAAAAAUAAUAGCAAUUCGAGCUGCUGUUUCUAUGCGGAGAGGUGGGUGUUUUUCUUGUGUUUUCCCGCUAGGUUUGGAGUUUUAUGAGCUGAGCUAAAAACAAGCUCAGUCGUAAAGAAUUAGAUCAGGGAAGGAGAGGGAAAGAAGAAGAAGAUAGAGAGAAAGUUGGAUAAUAUUUCUGAUAAAUAAAAAUGAGUACAU